rnacentral:rRNA from 1 species
AUCAAUACCGCGUGUGUGAAGAAGGCCUUAGGGUUGUAAAGCACUUUCAAUUGGAAGGAAAAACUCAUGGCCAAUACCCGUGAGCUUGACAUUACCUUUAGAAGAAGCACCGGCUAACUCCGUGCCAGCAGCCGCGGUAAUACGGAGGGUGCAAGCGUUAAUCGGAAUUACUGGGCGUAAAGCGUGCGUAGGCGGCUCGCUAAGUCAGAUGUGAAAGCCCCGGGCUCAACCUGGGAACGGCAUUUGAAACUGGCAAGCUAGAGUUUAGGAGAGGAGAGUGGAAUUUCAGGUGUAGCGGUGAAAUGCGUAGAGAUCUGAAGGAACACCAGUGGCGAAGGCGACUCUCUGGCCUAAAACUGACGCUGAGGUACGAAAGCGUGGGUAGCAAACAGGAUUAGAUACCCUGGUAGUCCACGCCGUAAACGAUGUCAACUAGCCGUUGGCUCUCUUAGAGAGUUAGUGGCGCAGCUAACGCAUUAAGUUGACCGCCUGGGGAGUACGGCCGCAAGGUUAAAACUCAAAUGAAUUGACGGGGGCCCGCACAAACGGUGGAGCAUGUGGUUUAAUUCCGAUGCAACGCGAAGAACUUUAC